CCCUAAUCCCUAACUAUACGCCUCCUGAGUCCUGAGUCCUGACCUCCGCGCCUCAAAUCCUCAAUCUUCGGACAUUCUCAUCCUUCGCCGGCGACGAGCUAGGGGCACAGCAGAUCCAACGACGGCGACAAGCUUCAGCAGCGGCGGCGGUUUGACAGUCUCCUCCCAUAUCUUUGUCAGUUCUUCCCCUUCUCUGUUCUCCCAUCCCUUCGCUUCUGUCUCUGAGUGAAGACCAUCUGCCGGGCGACUACUUAGCGACGACGACUGGGGGAACAACAGAUCUGAAGACGACGACUGGGAGGGAACAACAGAUCUGGCGACGACGGUGAGCUUCAAAAGAGAAUUCCAAUCCUGAAUGUAACUUAUGUGUUGCUGUGCAUUUUUUCCCCUUCAAUUUACUCAGGCUGUGAAUUUCAUUGAAUAUGAUUCUUCGAAGCAAGCUAUUAUGGUGUUUAAAGCGAGUUGCAAGUUGAAAUUGGAAGACUAUAAACAAGCAGUGAAUCAAGCUAUUAUGGACUUAUGGAGUUGAAAGACUUAGAUUGUCUGUAUUAAUAUAUUCGAUACCGAUUUUAAUGGUGUAGUACUUGCAAUUGUUUGCAAUUAUAGGUUUACAGUAUGAGAUAUAUUGUAAUAAUUAGGUAUAUAUUAAUAGAAAUUUUUAUGCUGUUUAAAUUUAAA